UACGGAGGGUGCAAGCGUUGCUCGGAAUCAUUGGGCGUAAAGCGCACGUAGGCGGCCUGUUAAGUCGGAUGUGAAAGCCCCGGGCUCAACCCGGGAAGUGCAUACGAAACUGGCGGGCUUGAAUAUGGAAGAGGGUCGCGGAAUUCCCGGUGUAGAGGUGAAAUUCGUAGAUAUCGGGAGGAACACCAGUGGCGAAGGCGGCGACCUGGGCCAAUAUUGACGCUGAGGUGCGAAAGCGUGGGGAGCAAACAGG
rnacentral:rRNA from 1 species